AAGGAUUAGGCGAUUUGAUUGUUGUUAGUUUUUCAAAGUAAAAUUUACUUUGUUACCAUACAAUGAUUUUCAAUGAUUUGUGAGCUUUUUUAUCGAUUCUAAUAAUGGACCAGAAUUUUGUCUAGAUUGGACUUUUAUGUUUGACGUUUCGACAAAAGUAAAUCUAAUUUUAGCUAAUUAAUGUCCAUUUUAAUGGAAAAAUUUAGAGCCAUCUAGAGCUAGAAAGUAGAGGUAUUUUUUGUCAAAAUUGAGUCGCAGAUGUUUUUACUCUAUGAUUUGCUUGACACCGUUUGCUGACCAAAUCGAUUAAUUAAUUUACCAAUCAUCUUUAAAAGAUAUUAAUUAUUUUGAUUAACACAAGGACUGAGUUUGGAGACAGUGAAGUGAAUACUUUUAAAUUAAAAGUAAUAGUGUUUCUUUUUUUCCUCGAGACAAUCGUGUUUAGAAAAGUGCAAAUUCGUGUCUCUCAUUUGUUUACAUAUAUGGACGAUUGGAGGAUAAAGGUGAAUGAUAAAAGAUGAUAAUAAUGUGAAAAUCAAGGAGAAAGGGAUAACAGAAAGAUGUUGAUGGAAAAGGAAAGCUACAAAGUGUAUAAGACAAGUGGAGAUAUUAACUGUAUUAUAAGCUAUAAAAUGGUCAACAGGAAGAAGUAAACUCGAAAUGGAAAUGGGUCAAAUUUUGGUGAAUCCAUUAUGUUAAUCGACCAGCGCAAAAGAAGCCAUUUUCAAUUCACCUUUUUUGUUCGAGCCAAGACAAUGUUAUUCAUCAAAUUAUUGAAACAAUCAACUUAUGAUGAUAUGAGAGAUUCAUUAUUUUAAUCAUUAUUGCCAUUAUAUAUCUAAAUUAUAUUUUGAUUAACUAUUUAUUUUUCAUAAUCAUUACCAUUUACUACCCAAUCAGCCCAAUUAAAUGAUCAACCUUUCAAUUAACAAUAUUCAUAAUAAUGAUUCCUCUAUCCUCAACAGUUAUUCAAGUACCAAUUUAAAUCACAUUAAGGUUAACAAAGUUGAACACUUUCAUUACAA